GACGAACCGUGCAAACGUUGUUCGGAUUUACUGGGCGUAAAGCGCACGUAGGCGGAUCGUUAAGUCGGGGGUGAAAUCCUGGAGCUCAACUCCAGAACUGCCUUCGAUACUGGCGAUCUCGAGUCCGGAAGAGGUGAGUGGAACUCCUAGUGUAGAGGUGGAAUUCGUAGAUAUUAGGAAGAACACCAGUGGCGAAGGCGGCUCACUGGUCCGGUACUGACGCUGAGGUGCGAAAGCGUGGGGAGCGAACCGG
rnacentral:rRNA from 1 species